AUGGAGAGGCAGAUGAGCAAGAUAUACACCAACAAGAUUUUUAACAAAUUCCAGGAAGAAAUAAAGCGUGCUAGCAUGUACACGGCUUUCCAGGUGGACGAACAUACGUUCAAGGUGUGUUCUAUCCUGGGCAUAUCGGAUUCAGAACCUGAAGACCCGGACAAGGGAAGGAACUACUUUGUGAAGGCAUCGAUAAGCGAAGGCGAAUACUACUGCCAAUGCUGCAAAUUCGAAUGGGAUGGGAUUGUGUGCUGUCACACACUAAAAGUAAUGGACAUGAAUGCGGUGACACGAAUGCCCCGCCAUUUCAUAAGGCGGCGAUGGACUUGGGACGCUGACGACGCAUUGGCGCCGCAAACAUCAAACGCAGUUUUGGCUGUGCAUGACGAGAGACCAGAGUCAACCAUGGAAGCCACGAGGCACGUUGUGUUGACAAAGAACUAUACUGAACUAAUUGAUGAAGCGUGCAAGAGUGAUGAGACAGCGAGGGUCGCAGAAAAACAUAGGAAGGCCCUCAAAAGAGAGCUUGAUGAGAUCAAGAAGAGGAAAGCUGAGGAAGCCUUACACAGGUUCCCCCACACAUCAAGUGUGCCUUCAUCCACGGGGCCAUCAUCUGAAAACUCGGAGGUAGGAUCUGGAACAGCAAGCACACAAACCCAGGUUAGGAACCCGCCCCGUUCCAUCACAAAAGGGCGUCUAAAAGAGAUAAGAUACAAAUCGGGAUUGGAGAUUCAAGCAAAACACAAGAAACCAAAGAAAGGGAUGGGCAAUCCUUGCCACGUGUAUGGUACUGAAUUUGCCAUGUUACUUGAACUGAAUCUGCCGUGCCAUUUCUACUGA
rnacentral:rRNA from 1 species